CCUGUCCUUAGAGGUGUCCGAAGUGUGGCUAUUAUGUAACAUGUGCAUGCCUGGGUGACAGAGAAGAGGCCAUAUCUGUGCUAAGUAUUUUGACCUGUGAAUAUCUGAAUCAUUAGUAGUAUAACAUU